rfam:Triticum aestivum genome assembly, contig: Triticum_aestivum_CS42_TGACv1_scaffold_577150_7BL
UAUGUACAUCCUCCGUCCGGAAAUACUUGUCACCAAAAUGGAUAAAAGGGGAUGUAUCUAGAUGUAUUUUAGUUCUACAUACAUCUCUUUUUAUCCAUUUUGGUGACAAGUAUUUUCGGACGGAGGGAGUAUGAA